rnacentral:rRNA from 1 species
AGCGAACGCUGGCGGCAGGCUUAACACAUGCAAGUCGAACGGGCGUAGCAAUACGUCAGUGGCAGACGGGUGAGUAACGCGUGGGAACGUACCUUUUGGUUCGGAACAACACAGGGAAACUUGUGCUAAUACCGGAUAAGCCCUUACGGGGAAAGAUUUAUCGCCGAAAGAUCGGCCCGCGUCUGAUUAGCUAGUUGGUGAGGUAAUGGCUCACCAAGGCGACGAUCAGUAGCUGGUCUGAGAGGAUGAUCAGCCACACUGGGACUGAGACACGGCCCAGACUCCUACGGGAGGCAGCAGUGGGGAAUUUUGGACAAUGGGCGCAAGCCUGAUCCAGCCAUGCCGCGUGAGUGACGAAGGCCUUAGGGUUGUAAAGCUCUUUUGGCGGGGACGGAUAAUGACGGUACCCGCAGAAAAAGCACCGGCUAACUCUGUG